CCUACGGGUGGCAGCAGUGAGGAAUAUUGGUCAAUGGCCGCAGGGCUGAACCAGCCAAGUCGCGUGAGGGAUGACGGUCCUACGGAUUGUAAACCUCUUUUGUCAGGGAGCAAAGGGCGCCACGUGUGGCGCUUUGCGAGUACCUGAAGAAAAAGCAUCGGCUAACUCCGUGCCAGCAGCCGCGGUAAUACGGAGGAUGCGAGCGUUAUCCGGAUUUAUUGGGUUUAAAGGGUGCGCAGGCGGAAUGGCAAGUCAGCGGUAAAAUUGCGGGGCUCAACCCCGUCGUGCCGUUGAAACUGGCGUUCUUGAGUGAGCGAGAAGUAUGCGGAAUGCGUGGUGUAGCGGUGAAAUGCAUAGAUAUCACGCAGAACUCCGAUUGCGAAGGCAGCGUACCGGCGCCCAACUGACGCUGAAGCACGAAGGCGUGGGUAUCGAACAGGAUUAGAUACCCGGGUAGUC
rnacentral:rRNA from 1 species